AAGUCGUAACAAGGUUUCCGUAGGUGAACCUGCGGAAGGAUCAUUAUUGAAUGAACUUGACUUGGUUGCUGCUGGUCUUUUCGAAGGCAUGUGCACACUUUGUCAUCUUUAUAUCUCCACCUGUGCACCUUUUGUAGACCUGAAACCAAAUUUCCGAGGCAACUCGGUCGUGAGGAAAUGCUUAACAGCUUUCCUUGUUAGGUUCCAGGGCUAUGUUUUCAUAUACACUAUAAGAAUGUAACAGAAUGUCAUUAUUAGGCUUAGUUGCCUUAUAAACUAUAUACAACUUUCAGCAACGGAUCUCUUGGCUCUC
rnacentral:misc_RNA from 1 species